rnacentral:rRNA from 1 species
UGCAGAGGUCUCAAGCGUUUGUUCGGAUUCAUUUGGGCGUAAAGGGUGCGUAGGCGGCGCGGUAAGUCGGGUGUGAAAUCUCGGGGCUUAACUCCGAAAUUGCAUUCGAUACUGCCGUGCUUGAGGACUGGAGAGGAGACUGGAAUUUACGGUGUAGCGGUGAAAUGCGUAGAUAUCGUAAGGAACACCAGUGGCGAAGGCGGCUACCUGGCCUGAUACUGACACUGAGGCACGAAAGCGUGGGGGAUCAAACAGG